rnacentral:rRNA from 1 species
CAAUAGCGUAUAUUAAAGUUGUUGCAGUUAAAAAGCUCGUAGUUGGACCUUGGACCUGGACAGGCGGUCCGCCUCACGGCGUGUACUGUCUUGCUGGGUCUUUCCUCUUGGUGAUCUGUUGUUUCGGCAGCAGGGAACCAGGACUUUUACUUUGAAAAAAUUAGAGUGUUCAAAGCAGGCUCGACGCCGGAAUAUAUUAGCAUGGAAUAAUAAAAUAGGACGUGCGGUUCUAUUUUGUUGGUUUUUGGAAUCGCCGUAAUGAUUAAUAGGGACAGUCGGGGGCAUUAGUACUCACAUGCUAGAGGUGAAAUUCUCGGAUUUUGUGAAGACUAACUUCUGCGAAAGCAUUUGCCAAGGAUGUUUUCAUUAA